UACAGAGGGGGGCAAGCGUUUAUUCGGAAUUAUUGGGCGUAAAGGGCGCGUAGGCGGCUUUGCAAGUGACGGGUGAAAUCCCUCGGCUUAACCGAGGAACUGCCUGUCAAACUGCAUGGCUUGAGACCGGGAGAGGUGAGUGGAAUUCCCAGUGUAGCGGUGAAAUGCGUAGAUAUUGGGAGGAACACCAGUGGCGAAGGCGGCUCACUGGACCGGUACUGACGCUGAUGCGCGAAAGCGUGGGGAGCAAACAGG
rnacentral:rRNA from 1 species